CGCUGAGCCACGGCUAUCGGGUUUCCUUCUGAGCUCCCGGCGGCCCCAGCGCGCCGCCGGAAGUGUGUUCCUGAUUCCGGAGGACUCGUCUUACCCCCGAGGAGGAUGGUGGCAGUAUCUGCAUCUGGGUCAGAAAAGCUGCUGAGUGCUCAGAGUUUGAUGAGCCCUUGCGGGAACUUGGAGGAUCAACCUGAGAGCAGUGCAGACAAUGGAGGCCUGGCUUGUGAGGUGCAGAGUUAAAUAUUCUACAACAUGACAAUGUCCUGGAUCUUCAGUCUUGGAGCAAGCCAGUAAGCAGCACUCCUCCAUGGCUUCUGGUUCAGCCCCUGCCUCCUGGUUCCUGCCCUGAGUUCCUGCCUUGAUUUCCCUGGAGGAUGGACUUAGAAGCUGCAAGCAGGAGGAGGAGGAGGAAGAGGAUGAGAUUGCCACUCCCAUCACAUCUGGCGAGUUGUCAGAACACUGUGUCAGAGUUUAAGACACUGUUCCUUCUGAUUGAACCCCAAAGCAACCACCAUGGUAGAACUGUUGUCCUCUGGAGGCAUGUUCGUGUCCUUACCCCUGGUCCCAGGAUUGUGGCCAGUUCUUAGCAUCCUUGACUCUUCUCUCCCACUCUACUGGCCAUGGCACCCUGCUCUGUGCUAAGCAGUAAGGACUGUAAGUCACUUUAUCUUAUUUCAGAUAUUAAUAAAAAUGAUUUUAAAGCUAAAAUGAGCAGGUCAUGGUAGCACACUCCUGUAAUCCAGCACUUGGGUGGCAUAGGCAGGAGGUUCAGGUGUUAGUACAAGGCUAGCCUGGGCUACACAAGACCCUAUCUCAAAACUACACGGUAAAAUAGAAAUUAGACAGGAAACACGAGGUUCAUUUUUGUUUUAAUUCUGUGUGUGGAUGUGUGCAAGUUAGUGCACUUGCUGGGUGAGGACAGAGGUGUUGGAUCCCCUGGAGCUGGAGUGACAGGCAGUUGUGAGCUGCCUGAUGUGGGUGCUGGAAUCAAACUCAGGUCCUCUGCGAGAGCAGUAGACACUCCUAACCUCUGAGCCAUCUCUCCAGCUUACUUUUGAUAAAUACAUUUCUCUCUUUUAUUUUUUUAAAAAGAUGUAUCACAUGUAGAGUGUUCUUCAUGCAGGAAUGCCUGCAUGACAGAAGAAGGCACCAGAUCUCAUUAGAUGGUUGUGAGCAACCCCAAAUUUGCUAUGGAUUGAACUCAGGACCUCUGGAAGAGCAGCCAGUGCUCUUAACCACUGAGUCACAUCAUCUUAACAGCCCUGAUAAAUACCUUAAAAACAAACAAACAAAAAAAACCCCAAAAAAACCCGGCGUUGGUACGCAGUCAAAAGAAUGGUGAACGAUGCCUUGAGGAACUGUGAGCGAGACCCCAGGGUAGAAAGCAGAAGGCCUUUUACCUCGGGUGCAUUUUAGUCCCUGGAUUAUUCCUGGAUGUGAUUUCCUGCCUCCUGCGUUAAACAUUUGCGUUCAGUUUAUAAGCCGUGUUUAUUCGUGUUGGAUGUGGGGACACAGCUGUAGAACCCAGUCUGGUCAGUGUAUCCUGACUCUACCUUGCCUUCAUGCUUCCCCAGGUGUAAUCUAUAGCACGUGCCAGGCGACUGUGUUUCAGGUGGUCUGUCCUGAGAGAGACUGGGAAAGGGCUGCUCGGUUAAUAUUUAGCAUGUGCUUCCUGAUAUCUGCGUGCAUGUUUUUCUGCACUCACACAGCCUUCCUUGGACCACUGCCUUCUUCUUUGUGUUUGUGUGUAAAGUACAGUGAUCCUGAAGGGCGGCUGUCUGCAGCUCGACUGCCAUCUCCCCAUCCUUUCAGGUCCUUGGAUCCCUGGAGUAGCAGGCAAGAAAGUCGACACCAGGUGUGGUGGUUUGAAACCCUCCCCUGGGCUUGAAAGCCUUGAGCACCUGGGCUCCCGUUGGUAGCUUUGUUGGGUGAGUCACGGGGGUGUGGUGUUUGAAUGAGAAUGACCCCCAAAGGCUCACAUUUGCAUCCUUGGGUCCCUGUUGGAACUGUUGGGAAGAAUUAUGAGAUCUCGUUAGAGGUGCUUCAAAAGACUCAAGCCAUCCCCAGGUGGUUCUCUCUGCUUCUUGCUCGUGCACCAGGACACGGAAGGUCUCAGCUACUGCUCCAGCGUCAUGCCUGCUGCCCUGCUCCCCACCGUGAGGACCACGGACUCCAGCCCUCUGGAGCCCUCUGAGCCUGAGUGAGAAAACAUAUUUGCUCCAUCCUGACCCAACCUCAUACUAAAACUAGGACCAGCCUGACCCUCAGGUGUUCCUAAUGCUCUGUGGGACCCGUGACUCUCUGGCUGUUGCUCGGCUUCUGUGACUUACAAGGCUUUCUGCUCCCCUCCGUACCAGACAGAAGCAUCGCGAUGACACGGCUGUGCCCUAUUCUUAUUAAAAGUUCAUGCUUGCUAGCCGCCACACCAAUGGGAUGUACCAAACCUGUGUUUUUGACCUUUCUAUACCUCCUGCUCACUAACCUCGAGGUCAUCUUGUAGUCACGGGAGUGGGUGCCUCUGGCCAGGUGUGGGUGGCUCAACAAAAAUUUCAAAUUCGUAGAGUUCAUCUGGUCACCUUCUCUUGGGAGAGAACAGCCUGGCUACAACACCCCAGAUUAAAUGUUUUCUCUUAUAAGCUGCCUUGGCCAUGGUGUCUCGUCGUGGCAAAAGAAAAACUACUAGUACACUGAGGAAAGAAAUCCCUUUUAUUGUGUUUUUAAAGACAAACAAAAAACAGGAAAAAAAACCCCACAAAUUACAAAGCUGGGAUGUCACCCAGGAAAGCGUUGACCCCUGGGAAGCAGGCCGGUCACCAGGGACCAGAGCAAUGUCCAUGAAGGGGAGCCUGGGCUGCCCUCCUCGGGCUGGACAGCUACGUGACUAGAAACAAGAGUCAAGGUGUCUGCUUCAGAAGUCCACAGAAGACCAUGGUUCUUCGUGCAGCCCCUGGCAGUGAGGUGUCCCUGGGGUUUCCCCAGUUUCAGUCCCUGCCUCUCUGUCGUCUCAGCGUUCAUAUUCCUCUUCUACACCAGUCAUGUUAUGUGGCUGCUCCGUAUGGUCUUAACGGAUCACAUAUGAAAUGACCCUACUUACCCAUAAGGUGACAGGCUCAGAGGUACUAGGGUAGGAUUUUAAUGACUUGGGAACACAAAUCAGUCCCCAGUUGGCAGCCAAGCUGCAGGUCUGUCUCAUUGCCUCUGGUGAUACCGGGUGGAAGACGUUUCUAUUUUCCUAUCCUCCUCCCACCGGCCCAGCUUCCAUCUGCUUAGAUUCUGCCUGGCCAGCGGUACACAGCAGGAUCGUUACA